AGGCUCAGAUUGAACGCUGGCGGCAGGCCUAACACAUGCAAGUCGAGCGGAUGAAGGGAGCUUGCUCCUGGAUUCAGCGGCGGACGGGUGAGUAAUGCCUAGGAAUCUGCCUGGUAGUGGGGGAUAACGUCCGGAAACGGGCGCUAAUACCGCAUACGUCCUGAGGGAGAAAGUGGGGGAUCUUCGGACCUCACGCUAUCAGAUGAGCCUAGGUCGGAUUAGCUAGUUGGUGGGGUAAAGGCCUACCAAGGCGACGAUCCGUAACUGGUCUGAGAGGAUGAUCAGUCACACUGGAACUGAGACACGGUCCAGACUCCUACGGGAGGCAGCAGUGGGGAAUAUUGGACAAUGGGCGAAAGCCUGAUCCAGCCAUGCCGCGUGUGUGAAGAAGGUCUUCGGAUUGUAAAGCACUUUAAGUUGGGAGGAAGGGCAGUAAGUUAAUACCUUGCUGUUUUGACGUUACCAACAGAAUAAGCACCGGCUAACUUCGUGCCAGCAGCCGCGGUAAUACGAAGGGUGCAAGCGUUAAUCGGAAUUACUGGGCGUAAAGCGCGCGUAGGUGGUUCAGCAAGUUGGAUGUGAAAUCCCCGGGCUCAACCUGGGAACUGCAUCCAAAACUACUGAGCUAGAGUACGGUAGAGGGUGGUGGAAUUUCCUGUGUAGCGGUGAAAUGCGUAGAUAUAGGAAGGAACACCAGUGGCGAAGGCGACC
rnacentral:rRNA from 1 species